UCUCUUUCCCCUCUAAUCAGUAGUAUCGUCUCUUAGUCCGGCGAUGGUUGCUCCUGCUGCUGCUCGGUCCGGCCGUCGCCGUCGGGGCCGCCCUCUUGGGAUUCGGGCGGCCGUUAUUGCUCGCGUGCGUCGCUGGCGGCCGUCUUUCUUCUCCGGAUUUUUCCUCGGCGACGGCAGUCGCUGGUGCGCAUGGCCGGCCGGCUGUAGUUGAUUCAGGAUGCCGUCUUCGGUCCGCUCCUCGCCGGCCGUUUCGUUCUUUCCGAAUUGGUGUCCAGCGAUUGGACUCGCGGCAAGAUGUUAAUGUGGACGUUGAUAGUUGUCGUCGGGUGAUUUUAUUAGGGAAGCGGCCUAUAGAUUGUACCAUUGGUACUGCUAUUAGUGUGGGCUCUUCUUCAGCGGUUGCCGGGUCUGCACGCUAUUUCCCCGAUGCACCAGUACCUGCGGCGAUAGCCGCUUCGACGGAGAGCGAGUGUUGUUGUUACUUUGCGUGGAGCUCCCGGCGAGGCUGCCGCGUGAGGCGUCGGCGCCAGCGCUCGACAUGCAUCCGGAGGCCGAGCGGCAGCGCGACGAGCUGAACCGUCGUUUCCUGCAACCUUCGCACCGCCGUGCCCACUAUGUCCCACAAGGAUAAGGCCCCCCUUCUCGCCGACGCUGCCGCCUACAUCGCCACGAGCUGCACAGCCGCAUGGAGCAUCUCGAGGAGGAGAGCAUGGAGCCAGCCGCCGCAAGGUGGGAGGCGAGCGCGCCCC